GGAGGAUGUUUGGAAGUGUUGAUCACUGCAGCCUAAGCAGACAUGGAGGCACAUCAGAUGACCAGACAGACACCCCCACCCUCAUUAUGAUGGUGGAUCUAUUGAGGGA